rnacentral:rRNA from 1 species
CCUACGGGUGGCUGCAGUGGGGAAUAUUGGACAAUGGGCGAAAGCCUGAUCCAGCCAUGCCGCGUGUGUGAAGAAGGCCUUCGGGUUGUAAAGCACUUUCAGUGGGGAAGAAAGCCUUGGGGCUAAUACCCUCGAGGAAGGACAUCACCCACAGAAGAAGCACCGGCUAACUCCGUGCCAGCAGCCGCGGUAAUACGGAGGGUGCGAGCGUUAAUCGGAAUUACUGGGCGUAAAGCGCGCGUAGGCGGUCUGAUAAGCCGGUUGUGAAAGCCCCGGGCUCAACCUGAGAACGGCAUCCGGAACUGUCAGGCUAGAGGGCAGGAGAGGAAGGUAGAAGUCCCGGUGUAGCGGUGAAAUGCGUAGAGAUCGGGAGGAAUACCAGUGGCGAAGGCGGCCUUCUGGACUGACACUGACGCUGAGGUGCGAAAGCGUGGGUAGCAAACAGGAUUAGAUACCCCUGUAGUC